GAAUAUUGGACAAUGGGGGGAACCCUGAUCCAGCCAUGCCGCGUGUGUGAAGAAGGCCUUUUGGUUGUAAAGCACUUUACGCGAGGAGGCGGCUACCUGGAUUAAUACUUUAGGAUAGUGGACGUUACUAGCAGAAUAAGCACCGGCUAACUCUUGGCCAGCAGCCGAGGUAAUACAGAGGGUGCGAGCGUUAAUCGGAUUUACUGGGCGUAAAGCGUGCGUAGGCGGACAAUUAAGUCAAAUGUGAAAUCCCCGAGCUUAACUUGGGAAUUGCAUUCGAUACUGGUUGGCUAGAGUAUGGGAGAGGAUGGUAGAAUUCCAGGUGUAGCGGUGAAAUGCGUAGAGAUCUGGAGGAAUACCGAUGGCGAAGGCAGCCAUCUGGCCUAAUACUGACGCUGUGGUACGAAAGCAUGGGGAGCAAACAG
rnacentral:rRNA from 1 species